rnacentral:rRNA from 1 species
AAUAGAUACCCAGGUAGUCCACGCCGUAAACGUUGCACACUAGGUGUGGGGCCCUAUCGACGGGUUCCGUGCCGUAGCUAACGCAUUAAGUGUGCCGCCUGGGGAGUACGGUCGCAAGACUAAAACUCAAAGAAAUUGACGGGGGGCCCGCACAAGCGGCGGAGCAUGUUGCUUAAUUCGAUGCAACGCGAAGAACCUUACCUGGGUUUGACAUGGGCGCUAAAGCAGCAGAGAUGUUGUGUCCUUCGGGGGCGUUCACAGGUGGUGCAUGGCUGUCGUCAGCUCGUGUCGUGAGAUGUUGGGUUAAGUCCCGCAACGAGCGCAACCCUUGUUCGAUGUUGCCAGCGGGUUAUGCCGGGGACUCAUCGAAGACUGCCGGGGUCAACUCGGAGGAAGGUGGGAUGACGUCAAGUCAUCAUGCCCCUUAUGUCCAGGGCUUCACGCAUGCUACAAUGGCCGGUACAAAGGGCUGCGAUACCGUGAGGUGGAGCGAAUCCCAAAAAGCCGGUCUCAGUUUGGAUCGGGGU